UCACUAUAUCUACUAUUUCCUUUUUAUUUAAAAUAUCAACUGCACUAAAUAUAUAACUAUUACGGUAAUUAAAUACAAAAUGUAACUAAAUACAACUAGUCCUUUAUUAUAUACACAUUCAUAUUAAAUAGUCUAAAUACACUGGAACUGUCUGUGCCAGCACUGGCAGUGACAAUACCAGAAAGCUGCGGGUUGGUGCAGGGGGUGUGCCCCCCCCCCAGUGGUGUCCAGCACCCCCUUGAAGAAAACUCUGGUAUUCCAUGUUUGAGUUGUGAAUACUACUUAUUAUAUUGAAAUAUGUUCUGGGGGAAAUUUCAAAAAUGUUCUGGGGGGAAAUGCCCUAGACCCCUGUGGUAAUUGCACCUCGUCUAGAAAACCUCCACCCCC